UUUACCGUGAAAAAAUUAGAGUGUUCAAAGCAUGCAGAUCCAAUUUUCUGCCACCGAAUACAUUAGCAUGGGAUAAUAGGAAUAGGACCCUGUCCUCCUAUUUUCAGUUGGUUUUGGCAGCGCGAGGACUAGGGUAAUGAUUAAUAGGGAUAGUUGGGGGCAUUAAUAUUUAAUUGUCAGAGGUGAAAUUCUUGGAUUUAUGAAAGAUUAACUUCUGCGAAAGCAUCUGCCAAGGAUGUUUUCAUUAAUCAAGAACGAAAGUUAGGGGAUCGAAGACGAUCAGAUACCGUCGUAGUCUUAACCAUAAACGAUGCCGACCAGCGAUUAGGAGACGUUGAAUACAAAACACCACCAUCGGUGCGGUCAUCCUUGGCGUUGGUCUUCAAAAGCCAGCGCGGGGGUGGCUUAGCCCGGUGGCACCGGUGAAUGACUCCCCUA
rnacentral:rRNA from 1 species